UUUUCUUCUCUGAGAAGCCCGUUAAACCGCAGGGACUGGAGAGCUCUCCCAGCUUACUUCAUGGGGCUGAGAGGAGCUUGACAAGUACCCUGAGAUGCUUGGUAAGGAAGGCUUCCUGCAGUGGUUGAGGUAGUCACCGUCUUGGGCCAGAAGCAUACACCUCACCGUAUAAACCAGGACUGAAGAGCUCCUAGGACUUUAAAGGUCUGAUUUUGAUCAUGGAACGUCAGUCUUAGAAGUAAGAAAAAAAUAUCCUACCUCUGGCAUUACUUACAGCCUUGGAGAAGGCACCUGACCUCUUUUUUAUUUACCAUGUCUAUAAGAAGUUGGAUUUGGAAAGGUUCAAGAUAGUCCGUGAACACAGUUAAAACUUGGCCAUCUGUGCUUGCUAAAUCUGCCAUGACUG
rnacentral:lncRNA from 12 species